GGCCAGUUAGCUGAGUCAGUUGAGCAUGGCUCUAACAAUGCUAAGGUCACGGGUUUGAUUCCCGUUCGGUCCC
rnacentral:tRNA from 1 species